AAUAGAUACCCGGGUAGUCCACGCCGUAAACGAUGAGUGCUAAGUGUUAGGGGGUUUCCGCCCCUUAGUGCUGCAGCUAACGCAUUAAGCACUCCGCCUGGGGAGUACGGCCGCAAGGCUGAAACUCAAAGGAAUUGACGGGGGCCCGCACAAGCGGUGGAGCAUGUGGUUUAAUUCGAAGCAACGCGAAGAACCUUACCAGGUCUUGACAUCUCCUGACCGCCCUGGAGACAGGGUCUUCCCUUCGGGGACAGGAUGACAGGUGGUGCAUGGUUGUCGUCAGCUCGUGUCGUGAGAUGUUGGGUUAAGUCCCGCAACGAGCGCAACCCUUGUCCUUAGUUGCCAGCAUUCAGUUGGGCACUCUAAGGAGACUGCCGGCUAAAAGUCGGAGGAAGGUGGGGAUGACGUCAAAUCAUCAUGCCCCUUAUGACCUGGGCUACACACGUGCUACAAUGGGCGGUACAGAGGGUCGCGAACCCGCGAGGGGGAGCCAAUCCCAAAAAGCCGCUCUCAGUUCGGAUUGCAGGCUGCAACUCG
rnacentral:rRNA from 1 species